AACUCUCAGCAAUGGAUAUCUUGGCUCUUGCAUCAAUUAAGAACGUAGAGAAAUGUGAUACUUGGUGUGAAUUGCAGAAUUGCGUGAACAAUCGAGUCUUUGAAUGCAAGUUGCACCCUAGGCCAUCGGGCUGAGGGCACGCCUACCUGGGCAUCA